rnacentral:rRNA from 1 species
AGAGUUUGAUCCUGGCUCAGGAUGAACGCUAGCGACAGGCCUAACACAUGCAAGUCGAGGGGCAGCGCGGUGUAGCAAUACACUGGCGGCGACCGGCGCACGGGUGAGUAACGCGUAUGCAACCUACCCCUUACAGGGGGAUAACCCGGAGAAAUCCGGACUAAGACCGCAUAAGACCACACGGGGGCAUCCCCGAGGGGUCAAAUAUUCAUAGGUAAGGGAUGGGCAUGCGUCCGAUUAGCUAGUUGGCGGGGCGACGGCCCACCAAGGCGACGAUCGGUAGGGGUUCUGAGAGGAAGAUCCCCCACAUUGGAACUGAGACACGGUCCGAACUCCUACGGGAGGCAGCAGUGAGGAAUAUUGGUCAAUGGGCGGAAGCCUGAACCAGCCAUGUCGCGUGAAGGAAGAAUGUGCUAUGCAUUGUAAACUUCUUUUGCAGGGGGGUAAAGUGUGCCACGCGUGGCAUAUUGCAAGUACCCUGCGAAUAAGCAUCGGCUAACUCCGUGCCAGCAGCCGCGGUAAUACGGAGGAUCCGAGCGUUAUCCGGAUUUAUUGGGUUUAAAGGGUGCGCAGGCGGCCUGUUAAGUCAGCGGUCAAAUGGUGGGGCUCAACCCCGCUUCGCCGUUGAUACUGGGAGGCUUGAUUGCGGUCGAGGUAGGCGGAAUUCGUCGUGUAGCGGUGAAAUGCAUAGAUAUGACGAAGAACACCGAUUGCGUAGGCAGCUUACCAGACCGCGAAUGACGCUCAGGCACGAAAGUGCGGGGAUCGAACAGGAUUAGAUACCCUGGUAGUCCGCACAGUAAACGAUGAAUACUUGCUCUCGGCGACAGACGGUCGGGGGCAAAGCGAAAGCGAUAAGUAUUCCACCUGGGGAGUACGCCGGCAACGGUGAAACUCAAAGGAAUUGACGGGGGCCCGCACAAGCGGAGGAACAUGUGGUUUAAUUCGAUGCUACGCGAGGAACCUUACCCGGGCUUGAAAGUUACCGAAUGGAGCUGAAAGGCUCCAGACCCGCAAGGGACGGGAAACUAGGUGCUGCAUGGUUGUCGUCAGCUCGUGCCGUGAGGUGUCGGCUUAAGUGCCAUAACGAGCGCAACCCUUUUCUCCAGUUGCCAUCAUUCGGUUGGGGACUCUGGAGACACUGCCAUCGUAAGAUGCGAGGAAGGAUGGGAUGACGUCAAAUCAGCACGGCCCUUACGUCCGGGGCGACACACGUGUUACAAUGGAUGGGACAGAGAGCAGCGAAGCGGCGACGCCGAGCGAAUCUAUAAACCCAUUCCCAGUUCGGACUGGAGUCUGCAACCCGACUCCACGAAGCUGGAUUCGCUAGUAAUCGCGCAUCAGCCAUGGCGCGGUGAAUACGUUCCCGGGCCUUGCACACACCGCCCGUCAAG